AUCCAGGUGCAAAUGUACUUUGGCUCCUCCCUUGUGCUUCUGUGGGGUUGAAGCUAUAUUGAGAUACUCAAAAACUAAGGCAAAUCCAGGAUGACCCUUCUUAGGGUGUCCUAAGUACAACACAAAGGGAUUACCAUACUGUGACUAUUUCAAGUGGGAAGAUAAUAAUGAAUACAUAGAUCUACAAGAAAGAAAAAAUGAGCUGUUAAGGAAGGAGGAAGAGCGUGAGAAGAGACUCAACGAUGUCGAAAAGAGGGAGACUGUGCUCCAUAAGAUAUUGGAUGAAAUCGAGAAGAGAGAGAUGUGCUAUCCAGUGGAAAUGAGAAGGUUCCAAAAAUGGAGUUGAUGCUUCUUGAGAGAGAAUCUGUCCUAAGGCGUUCAUGCACGCUACCCUGGGUGUAUUGGGGUUUUGUAUUUGUUGUUUGUUGUUAUUUAUUGACUUGGUAGUGGCUUAUGUUACAUCUUAGUUGAGUUUGUAGUUUAAGUGUUAUAAGUUAUUUAGUUAUGCCGUUUGUAUAAUUAAGUGUUGUAAUUAUUUAGAGAACUGAUUUGUACUGUUUGUUCUGAAUGGGUUAUGGUUUGUGUUAGUUGAAUCUGUAGUUUAAGUGUUAUAAGUUAUUUAGUUAUUAGAUUCGUAUAUUUAAGUGUUGUAAAUAUUUAGAGAAGUGAUUUGUAGUUUAGUAUGAAUGGGUAGUGGUUUUGCGCA